rnacentral:rRNA from 1 species
CUCAGGAUGAACGCUGGCGGCGUGCUUAACACAUGCAAGUCGGAACGAAGCACUUUAUUAUGAUUUCUUCGGAAUGACGAUUUAGUGACUGAGUGGCGGACGGGUGAGUAACGCGUGGGUAACCUGCCUUAUACAGGGGGAUAACAGUUAGAAAUGACUGCUAAUACCGCAUAAGCGCACAGGAUUGCAUGAUCUAGUGUGAAAAACUCCGGUGGUAUAAGAUGGACCCGCGUCUGAUUAGCUGGUUGGUGAGGUAACGGCCCACCAAGGCGACGAUCAGUAGCCGACCUGAGAGGGUGACCGGCCACAUUGGGACUGAGACACGGCCCAAACUCCUACGGGGAGGCAGCAGUGGGGAAUAUUGCACAAUGGGGGAAACCCUGAUGCAGCGACGCCGCGUGAGCGAAGAAGUAUUUCGGUAUGUAAAGCUCUAUCAGCAGGGAAGAAAAAUGACGGUACCUGACUAAGAAGCCCCGGCUAACUACGUG